GGCCCCGUGCAUUACUAUUUUAGUACAUUGUUAAGCAAAAUUUGUCUGUCAAAUUAUGGUAAUAAAUAAAAAGGGCGGUCACCUAGCUCUUACAGCCUCCUACCUACCAGGGUAUAGGAUCAUUUGAAAACUGAACCCUUGAAAGAGUUGUCACUUCUUCUUCAGUUCUGAGUGACCAGGGUGUGGACGCGAGGAGGACAGGAUACUAACUAAAGGGCCAGGCACAGAUGUUUGCAAACAAGAGGGGUCCACGUGAUCCAGUACUGCCAAAACCCACAAGGGUACAGCUCGACAUGCGCCUGCUAGCAGCCUUACCUUUGGUUCACAUUCAGUAACUCUACGCCUAUUCAAG